rnacentral:sRNA from 1 species
GAGUCUUGCUCUGUCACCAGGCUGGAGUGCAGUGGCAUGAUCUCAGCUCACUGCAACUUCCAACUCCCUGGUUCAAGCGAUUCUCCUGCCUCAGCCUCCCGAGUAGCUGGGAUUAUAGGCACACACCAGCACACCAGGCUAAUUUUUGUAUUUUUAGUAAAGACAGGGUUUCACCAUGUUGGCCAGGAUGGUCUCGAUCUCCUGACCUCGUGAUCCACCUGCCUCUGCCUCCCAAAGUGCUGGGAUUACAGGUGUGAGCCACCUCGCCCGGCCCAUUUUUCCCCAUUUCAUUUCCUGUCUCCAUGCCCUCUUCUUGACCCCAGCGAUGGCCACGUCUUGUUUCUAGAAUGCCUUCCUUUGCACAAGCCGUAUUCUGAACUCUUAAUUCCUUCCCUUAACUUCAAUCCCUAUGUCUCCUGUCCUACCUCAUGGUUUUCCUGGCCCCACACCUGAUGCUCAGAGCCCACUGUGAACCCCUGGUGCCUCUUUUUGGACUCGGUUCUCCCUUCUCUCCCACAGACCUUCCCCUCCUCCAAUGAGUCCCGCCAAUGCCCCAAUGCCCGUUGCCAGUUCGCCUUCUACGGUGGUGAGUCGGGCUACCACCGGGCCCUGCUGGGCCUGCAGAUCUUCAAUGCCUUCAUGUUCUUCUGGUUGGCCAACUUCGUGCUGGCGCUGGGCCAGGUCACGCUGGCCGGGGCCUUUGCCUCCUACUACUGGGCCCUGCGCAAGCCGGACGACCUGCCGGCCUUCCCGCUCUUCUCUGCCUUUGGCCGGGCGCUCAGGUGGGCUGGCGUUGCAGGCAGGAUGGGGUGGAGGACGAGGCCUGGCCCAGCCACCGACCACUCCCUCGGCCCGCAGGUACCACACAGGCUCCCUGGCCUUUGGCGCGCUCAUCCUGGCCAUUGUGCAGAUCAUCCGUGUGAUACUCGAGUACCUGGAUCAGCGGCUGAAAGCUGCAGAGAACAAGUUUGCCAAGUGCCUCAUGACCUGUCUCAAAUGCUGCUUCUGGUGCCUGGAGAAGUUCAUCAAAUUCCUCAAUAGGAAUGCCUACAUCAUGAUUGCCAUCUACGGCACCAAUUUCUGCACCUCGGCCAGGAAUGCCUUCUUCCUGCUCAUGAGAAACAUCAUCAGAGUGGCUGUCCUGGAUAAAGUUACUGACUUCCUCUUCCUGUUGGGCAAACUUCUGAUCGUUGGUAGUGUGGGGAUCCUGGCUUUCUUCUUCUUCACCCACCGUAUCAGGAUCGUGCAGGAUACAGCACCACCCCUCAAUUAUUACUGGGUUCCUAUACUGACGGUGAUCGUUGGCUCCUACUUGAUUGCACACGGUUUCUUCAGCGUCUAUGGCAUGUGUGUGGACACGCUGUUCCUCUGCUUCUUGGAGGACCUGGAGAGGAAUGACGGCUCGGCCGAGAGGCCUUACUUCAUGUCUUCCACCCUCAAGAAACUCUUGAACAAGACCAACAAGAAGGCAGCGGAGUCCUGAAGGCCCCGCGCUCCCCACCUCUCAAGGAGUCUCAUGCCGCAGGGUGCUCAGUAGCUGGGUCUGUUCCCCCAGCCCCUUGGGCUCACCCGAAGUCCUAUCACUGCCGCUUUGCCCCUCCCCAUGAGCCAGAUCCCACCAGUUUCUGGACGUGGAGAGUCUGGGGCAUCUCCUUCUUAUGCCAAGGGGCGCUUGGAGUUUUCAUGGCUGCCCCUCCAGACUGCGAGAAACAAGUAAAAACCCAUUGGGGCCUCUUGAUGUCUGGGAUGGCACGUGGCCCGACCUCCGCAAGCUCCCUCAUGCUUCCUGUCCCCCGCUUACACGACAACGGGCCAGACCACAGGAAGGACGGUGUUUGUGUCUGAGGGAGCUGCUGGCCACAGUGAACACCCACGUUUAUUCCUGCCUGCUCCGGCCAGGACUGAACCCCUUCUCCACACCUGAACAGUUGGCUCAAGGGCCACCGGAAGCAUUUCUUUAUUAUUAUUAUUUUUUAACCUGGACAUGCAUUAAAGGGUCUAUUAGCUUUCUUUCCGUCUGUCUCAACAGCUGAGAUGGGGCCGCCAAGGAGUGCCUUCCUUUUGCUCCCUCCUAGCUGGGAGUGACUGGGGUGGGAGUGUGUGUGCCCAGGUAAGGGUGUCUCCUGGCUGGGAAGGAGGGAAAGGGAGGGAGAGUUUUGCGGGGGUUGGCAGUGGAGAGCGGGCUGGAGAGGAGAUGGCUAAUAGCUGUUUAAUGGAAACCUGCUGGGCUGGAGGGAGUUAGGCUGAAUUUCCCGACUUCCUCUGCCAGUUAUUGACACAGCUCUCUUUGUAAGAGAGGAAAGAAACUAAACCCACCCAAGGGAUGAUUGCAGGGGGAGAGGUGGAGGGCAGAUGCCCUGGGCAAACCGGGCCCCUCUGCCCACACACCUCACUUGAUCCUUUUGCCAAACUUGUCAAACUCAGGGGAACUGGCUUCCCAGUUGCCCCUUUGCCAUAUUCCAAGUCCCCCUCAGACUUCAUGUCUCUGCUCAUCAGCACUGUCCCAGGAUCCUGGAGAGGGAGAACCCCUGGCCCCAGGGGAAAGAGGGGGGGGUCUCCCGUUUCCUGUGCCUGCACCAGCCCUGCCCCCAUUGCGUCUGCACACCCCUGCGUGUAACUGCAUUCCAACCACUAAUAAAGUGCCUAUUGUACAGG